rnacentral:rRNA from 1 species
UUCGUUUUUUAAUUAAAAACUAGGAUGAAAGGUUAUACAUUCAAAUUUCUUUAUUAAUUUCUAAUUAAUAAUUUAUAUUAAAUAUAAAAAUAUACUUAUAAAAAAAAAAGACGACAAGACCCUAUUAAAUUUUACUUAUAGUUUAACUGGGGAAGUUUUUUAAUUAAAAUUUUUUAAAUUUAAUAAAUAAAAAUCUAAUAAAAUUAAAACUUUAACAAAUUACUAUAGGGAUAACAGCAUUAUAUUUUUUAAAAGUUCAUAUUAAAAAAAAUGAUUGUGACCUCGAUGUUGAAUUAUAUUUUCUAUAUUUAAUGCAAUAAUUAUAAAAGUAGAUCUGUUCGAUCUUUAAAAUAUUACAUGAUUUGAGUUCAAACCGGUGUAAACCAGGUUGGUUUCUAUCUUUUUAUAUAUUUUUCCAGUACGAAAGGACAAACAAAUUUUUAUUUUAAUAAAUUAGCAAAUAAAUGCAUUAGAUUUAGAAUCUAAAUAUAUUUAAU